CCUACGGGAGGCAGCAGUCGAGAAUCAUUCACAAUGGGGGAAACCCUGAUGGUGCGACGCCGCGUGGGGGAAUGAAGGUCUUCGGAUUGUAAACCCCUGUCAUGUGGGAGCAAAUUAAAAAGAUAGUACCACACGAGGAAGAGACGGCUAACUCUGUGCCAGCAGCCGCGGUAAUACAGAGGUCUCAAGCGUUGUUCGGAAUCACUGGGCGUAAAGCGUGCGUAGGCUGUUUCGUAAGUCGUGUGUGAAAGGCGCGGGCUCAACCCGCGGACGGCACAUGAUACUGCGAGACUAGAGUAAUGGAGGGGGAACCGGGAUUCUCGGUGUAGCAGUGAAAUGCGUAGAUAUCGAGAGGAACACUCGUGGCGAAGGCGGGUUCCUGGACAUUAACUGACGCUGAGGCACGAAGGCCAGGGGAGCGAAAGGGAUUAGAUACCCCUGUAGUC
rnacentral:rRNA from 1 species